UAUUUCUGCAUUUUACUACGUUGUUGGGUUGUACAUUGAUUUUAUUAGAGUUACAAGAUAAAUGUACUUAUAGAGACCGACAAUCGGAUAUGAUAAAAUUAGAUUUAGAUAUCCAUCAAGAUAUUAUAAAUAUAAUUUAAAAUGAAUAAAGUACAACAAUACAAAGAAUUAAAACAAAUUAUCUCUGAAAAACGUAAAGAAUUAAAAAUAAGAAUAAAAAGACUACAUUAUAAUAUAUUUGUCGGAGUUAGUAAAAAUUCAAUAGAUACACAAAAAGAUGAAAUAUCAAAAUUGGAAUCACAAAUAGAUAGUUUAGAAUAUAUAUAUCAACAUGACCUAUUCACAAUAAAAUGAAUAAAGAAGAAUUUAUAAUAGAUGAAAAAAUAUAUGAAAACUACGAAGGAUCAAAAAUAAAAAUAGUAUUUUCUAAUCUAGGACGAAGAUAUAAGAAAAUAGGUGAACAUUUAUAUCUAAUGUUAGAAAAAGAAGAAUUAAAAUUAGAAGAUAAAUUAACAGCAAUGGUAAGAAUAGAAAAAGAAAAUGAAGAGAUAGAUAGGAAAAAAGAAAUAGAAAAAAUAAAACAACAAACUACGGAAGAAAUACGAAAAAUAGAAGAAACCAAAAAUAGUAGAAUUGCUGAAUUAGAAAAAGAAUUACAAAUGUUAAAAGAACUGUAUGAACAAAGACAAAAAGAAAAAGAAGAAAAAGAUAGAGAACAGAAAUUACUAAAUGAGAUAAAUCAAUUUAAGGAAAAAUUAGAAAUAAAAAAUGAAGAAUUAGAAAUAAAUAAUAUAGAUAUUGAAGAGACAGAUAAUUAUGAGUCCGAAGAUAGUGAAACAUACACAGAAAUAUUAACAAAUACAAAAAAUUUAGAAAUCAAUGAAGAACAAAAAAUUAAUGAGGAAAACUUAGAAAAUACCCACACAGAAAUAAAUACUCUUGAUAAAAAAGAAAAUGAAAAUAUAAUACCUAAAACAACAGAAAUAAGAAAACCUAUAUAUUAUAAGAAUAAGUUUAAAAAAUAUAAUGAAUAUGAUAAAUGGAUACCAAAACAAAUAGUGAAUAAAAAUUAUAACUUUUUAGAUCUAGACUGUGUAAUAGAUACAGAAAAGACAAUACAAUUAUGGAUAGGAUAUAUGACAAAACAAUUAUUAGAUAAUAAUAUAAAUAUAACAGAUGCACCGGAAUAUAUAGAAAAAACACUAAUAGGAUCAGUAAAACUAUGGUUUGCAAAUCUAACCGAAAAUAGCAAAAAAGUAUUAAGAACUAAUAAACCUAUAGAAGGAACAUCAUCGACAACAACUAAACUAACACCUAUAGAAUUAUUAAAAAAAUAUGAAACAGCUAUAAAAGAUGAAUUUGGUAGUACGACAACAAUCGAAGAAGAAAUUUGUAGGGGGGUGCGCGGAUUUAAUAGAUCUAAAUAGAUUUAUUAGGUUUCUAGUGGAUACCUAGAGGUUGAUAGAAAUCAAAGUAUCAGAAAGAUUUUAUCAUCUUUACAACUUAUGACUUGCUGUCAUAAAGUCGUUCAAUUUCUAUGCAUACCUUUAGUGGCAUUGUAGUUAUAUAUAUAUUCUACUAUAUAGUAGAAAUAGAAAAAAAGACAGAAAAGAGAGUUGAUAACGAUCAAGGGUAGAUUUGGAAUUUUACAUCUAUCUUAAUAAUUAAGGGUAUUUUUGAUAUUUUAUAAAGAAAAAUAUCUAUUCAUUCACUACCACGAGAAUAUCUUGUGGCUAUGGUUGAACAACAUGCACAUUACAAUAUAUUUUUAUAUCUAUUUUAUUGUAUUGUAGGUAAUAAAUGUCAUAAAAAAAGGGCCAACAUUUAUAUUUGGGAUCAUUUCCAUCAAUUGAUCCAAUCAAACGAGAUAAUCCCUUACUGUUACAUCUUCAUUUUAUUUUACUAUACGCGUUGGGCCAGUGCAACGCACGGACAUACUCAUCUAGUUAUAUAGAAGAGCCAUAACUAGGACGACCAAGGGCAAAUUUGUCAAUUAACAAAAAGUUCAACUUAAACUUAUUGUACAUCAUGCAAAGAGUGGGAAUUUAAAAAAAAAAAAAAACAUGUUCUAAAAAAUCUAAUGACUAUGCUUUGAAAAAAACAAAAAAUCUAGUGACAUCUUAAAGAAGUGGGGCCCAUUGUUUUUCUUCAAAAGGUUGUGAAAAAGUUUUUUCUUAAAAUUUUCUUUAUGUAAUAGCUUCAGAAUUUAUGAUCAUACACGUUUUUUUCUUAUUUAUUUAAAUUAUAUACUUGAAUCAAAUGAAAAGAAUAAUUUUAAAUUAAAAGAAAAAUUAUAUUUGAAGUUUGUUUUAUUUAAAUAUUUUUUUAAUUUUGGUAUCCAGACGAACUUUCUCUUCUCUUAUCCAAAACCACGGAAUAACAAAUUGCUUUUGAGUGUAACAUUUAUUAUUAUUUUUUAUUAUUUUUCCCUAAAAUUUAUUGUGAUUAAUUUAUGUUUAUGUUAACACUCACAGUAUAAUCAAGGGUAUAACAUUUUUAAAUAAUCUUUUAAAUAUUUUCAUAUAAAUUUUUUGUACAUCCACUACAACUCUAUUUUAAAUGAAAAAAAUAGAUAUAACGGUCAUUUCAUUAGAAUCUUCUCAAUGCGCUAAUGAUGUAAUCUUUCAUACAGAUUCCACACACCUCAACUCUGAGUUUAUUUUAAUAUGUAGUAAAAUGAAAUUAGAUGCAUUAAUUAAAAUAUCUAUUUUAAUACAUUACAAGUCUCAAUUCAAAUAAUAUAAUUUUCUUUAUUUAAUCAGUUCUAAAUAAAUUGAUAUUUUUUAUUUGGUUAAUAUUAUAUAACAUCAUCAAUAUUUUAGUCAUGUCGAAUUUUAUUUAUUUGCCAAAAAGUCCACAAGGUUUACUCUUCUAUUUAUUUUAAAGAUAAUUUGAAAUAUUGUAAAAAAAUUUCAUGUAUCUUAAAUUCAGUGUUGAAUCAAAGUUAUUUAAAUUAAAAUAUUUGGAGACGUAAUUUAUCAAUGGAUAUGUAAAUACUCACAUAUGUUUCAUAAAUGAUAAAAAAGUAAAAUUAAUUUUGGCCACACAUUUAAUUGCAUAAAGUAGUUAUUAAUAUAUUAUAGUAAAAUAAUUAAAAAAAACUCAUAAUUAUUGAAUAGACGUGUAUCUAUCAUACACAAUAAGUGAAUUUCUCCAUAAUUACUAAACUUCACUUGAUACAUAUCAUUACAAAGAUUUACAAUACAUAUAAAUUAUGGAAACAUAAUUACUUAAAAAUCACCUGUUGAAAUUAUUUUAAACAACUUAUUUAAAAUGUAAUAUUAAUUACUUCAUGUUAAAUUACUACAAAAUAUAUCAUGCUAACUUUUGUUAAUUUUUUGGAUUCUCCUUAUUUGAGGUAGUAAAUUUCCUCAUCAGGUAGACAAAUCAUUUUACAAGAUUUUUUUUUUUUUGCUUACUAUAUUUAAUUAAUCUCCCUUUUUGACGUAUAUAAGAUAAGACAUAAAAUCAAUCUUUUAACAUUAUGAGUUAUUAAAACUUUCAUCCAUGUCCUUAUUUUCGUUUGUUAAACACACAUGAAAUAAAUUUAAUAUAUUUUAAAUUAAUUUAUGUAUGAAUUAGUAUUCUUUAUUGUGUCGUAUGAUUCUAUAAAAAAAUGUUAAUAAAUAGAUAUUUAUAAUUUUAAUUUGUUUUCUUGUAUAGCCUUUAAAUAAAGUAGGACAAUAUGCAAAAUAAAUUAUACUAUGUACUUUAUCUUAUCUUAUUUCAUCACCAAUUAUCUUGAACCACAUGUAAUACUAGGGCUCAUUCUCUUUAUUCCUACAUAAACUUAUUAAGAUCUAUUGUUUAUUGUAAGAAAACCAAAAUGCUCAACUAUCAUUAACUUUUUUUCAUGUUCUAUUUUUUUUUUCACGUUUUUAUUUCUUUAUUUUUUUGUGAAAGUUUUAUUUGUCAUUAUUUAGUACUUUCUUCGGUUCAAUUUGUUUGAUUUUUUUUAUUUCAUUUUUAAAAAUCUUUUUCAUUUUUUAGUAAUAUUUGUAAUUCUAACUUUCCACAUGUCACAUUCAAGAUUAUAAGAUUAAAGAAUAUUUUGAUAUACUUAACAUAUCUUUUAUUUAAUAUCACAAUAUUUUUUUAAAAGUUUCUUUUUAAAAUUUCAUACCAAAUUAAAAUAGACCAAACAAACUGAAACAAAUAAAAUAUUGACAUAAUGGUGCAUUUCUAUAAGAAAAAAAUACAAAAUCUGUAGAUGUUAAAUUGUGCUUCUGAAUAUGUACAUAUGUAUUUACAAAAUUCAAAGCUUCUAAAAUUAUGUUUUAGCCAAAGAUUAUUUUCAUAAACUUCUAAUAAUUAUAACAAACUUGUAAAAUUCAUUAAAAUUAAUUUAUAAAUCAUUUCGGAUAUUAUGUCAUACCAAAGUUGAAUUCUUUAUUUAAAAUUUAGUCCAUUAUAUAAUAUAAGAUUGUUAAUAAAAGUUUUAAGCUAUGACUUGAGAUUACUUUUAAUUAAGAUAUUGCACUGAACUAAUAAAUUACAAUAGGAUUGAAUUGAUAUGGAAACAAUUAACACGUUUAGUUCAUACUUAGAGAAAAGAGUUUAAUUAGUUAGAGUUAUUUAUUUGUUUGAUUUUGAUUUGAUAUUAAAUUUUAACAAAUUCAAAAAAUUCUUGAAUAUUAUAUUAAUAGGCUAAAGAUAUGUAUAAUGUAUCAAAAUACUCUUUAAUUUUGAAGAAUUGAUUAAAAAAUUAUCAAAAAAAAAAGAGAUAUUCUCCUUUUAAAUGGAUCAAAACAGAUGGAGUAUUGUAUUAAUAAUAAAAUGAUAAAAUAAUAUACUGAUAAAUGAUGAAAAAGAAUUCAUUUAAUUUUAAAACUAUAUAUACUAAAGAUAAUUUUAAAACUAUAAUUUAUUUAAUUUAAUUGGUACUUUUUGCAUCUUAUAUCAAGGCAUUAUAAUUUAUACACUUAACUAUAUAUAUCGUUUUACAACACAUUUACAAUCUUUAAAAUAAAAUAUAUUAUUUUGAGAUAGUAUAUUCUCUCAUCAGGUAUAUAAAUCACUUUUUUUUAAAAAAAUAAACUAAAUUAUUCUCUUGAUUUUAUGGUAUAUAAAACAAGAUGUGAAACCACAAUUUUUUAAUUUUUAUCACUUUGUAAAGAAUGAUAUGAUUGGUUUUAACUUUCAUCAAAUAGGUUGAAUUCCAUUCGCUAAAUCCAUGCAAAAUGAAUUUAAAUGCAUUCAAAAUAAAUUUAUAGAUGAAUCAUUUUUUAUUUUUUGAUUGUUUUGUAUCUAUAAAAAAAAUAUUACCGACGCUUUAUUAUAACAUGUAUCUUUAUUAUCAUUUUUGAUAGUGCUAAUUUAAAAAUAUUGAUGAUCAUUUAAAAAAUUAAUUAAAUACCUAUAAAUAUAUUUAAAAUAUUAAUAUUAAGCUCGUAAAACAGACCCCUCAAUAUUGACUUAUAUAACGUCGAUUCACGAUGAGGUAGUAUGUCACUACGAGCCAAUUUUGCCUUGUUUGAAGCCAAUGUACUAGUAGAUAUAGAUAUGCACUUCUUCUUUUGUGUACUGUGCAAUUAAUUUCACUCUUAUCACGCUUUCCAUUCAUUAACAAAGUUAUCUUUUAUCAUAUACUCAUUUUUGCUUGUUUUUUUUUUUUUUUAACUUUAGGUUAAUACAAUUUUAAGUUAAUGUUUGAUCAUUAAAAUUUUAAAUAUAAUUUAAAAAAACAACUUUAUUAUAUUUUAAAAAACAACUUUAUUAUGUCCAUAAAAAACACAACCUCUAACUCUUAAACUCCAAAAAUUUAUGUUUUUCAUACGCCCACUAAUUACUGACUUCAAAAUAUUGUACGCAUUACUUUCCGUGUGUGCAUUUUGCGAUUUCCCUCCGAUAUCCACGCCCACAUAUGUUUUAUCUUUUCAUCAGCUGGAUUCUCUCUUCAACGCUCCCUCUUCCUUCACUUCUUACUUGUUUUCUUUUUCUGUCAACUCAAUUCCAAUUCCACUCCAAAUACCCAAGUCAACCUCUGGUCAAUCCAUAUUCACUCUUCCCUUAAUUCCAAUUGCCUUCGAUUCUUCUUCUUUCCUCUAAAUAGCUAAAUCUCAUUCUUAGAUCAAAUUGGGUGAUUCAAAUGGUUGAUUGCCGAAGUUUGAUCGAGUUUUGCAGGGCACACGAGCAGCACAAACACAUGAAUAAAUUCAAUUCACAUAUCAAAAAAUAGGAUAAUAAUCAGAAAAAUUCUUUUUGCUGUGAUCGUUCCCCUUUUGCUGCACUAGAUGCACUUAUACUACUCGUAGUACUCGGAUCACUAGGGUUUCUCAUAAUCCCUUAUUUCAAAUUACUUUUCGCCCAAAUUUCCCCAAUUAUAUGUGAAUUUCUAAUCGAGGUGAUCAACACUUCCCCUGUAGCAUAUUUCUUUGGAUUGAUGGUGGCGUUAAUCGGAAUAAUUAUUCUAAUGGAGUGUAUAAAGUGUUUGCCAUUGGAUUCCGAUUCGAAUUCAAAUGGAUGUAAUAAUUAUGGAGUGAAGCCGCUGGAGUUGGGACUUGGGAGAAGAACGUGAAGAGUUGGAGGCAGAGUUGAUGAGGAUGGCACCGCAUAAUGGGCGGACUGUGCUUAUUUUCAGAGCUCCAUGUGGAUGUCCUGCAGGUAGAUUGGAGGUUUGGGGUCAUAGGAAAAUUCGUAGAAUUAAGAAAUGACUGUAGUUCCUGUAGUUUGUUCAGUUAUAUAAAAAUAUAUGAAUAAAGUAGGAGAUGCUGAGUAGUUUGGACAUUUUCUAUUGGCUGUUAUGGAAUAAUUAUAAUCACUGGUGAUUAUACUCUAGCAAUAAUAUCUCUGAGUAUUGAUUUGAGUUUCUUCCUGCUUUCCGUGUAAAGUUUUAUCAUGUUAUUUAAUUAUUACCUACACUAUAAAUAGUGAAGUUGGCUAGCUUUUGUUAUGCAUUCCCAAUAAUCUUUCUUCUGUGUAAACAUCAAGUUCUCUACAGCAUCAAAGCAUUUGGUAGAACGAGGAGGAAAUUUGAUAAUUUAAUAUCUGAAUAUAAGAAGUCGAACUCAAUGCUUGUCACUUUCUCAACCUUUUUGCAGCCUAUACUCCAUAUAGAGUGACUCGGUGUUCCCAUCACAUGGUUUUCAUUUGAAUCUUGUUUGCCCUGUUUUCAGUUUGAUCAUUGUGGAAGUAGUAUAUAUAUGAGGAAUUUAUUUGAUUAAUUUAUUAAUUAUGACUGACUUAUUUGAUAAAACUAAAUUUAUAUUUUCCCCAAAAUAUUAUUUAGAUGAACAAAGUACAAAAAUUAUCAAAAUAUAAAGAAUUAAAGCAAAAAAUAUCUAAAAAAACAUAAAGAAUUAAAAAUAAGGAUAGAAGGACUGCAAUAUAACAUAAUUAUUGGAGUUAGUAAAACCUCAAUAAAUGCACAAAAAGAAGAGAUAUUAAAUUUAGAAUCGACACUAGAUAGUCUAGAAUAUACAUACCAACAUGAUCUAUUAACAAUUAAAUAAAAAAUGAACAAAAAAGAAUUUAUAAUAGAUGAAAAAAUAUAUGAAAACUACGAAGGAUCAAAAAUAAAAAUAGUAUUUUCUAAUCUAGGACGAAGAUAUAAGAAAAUAGGUGAACAUUUAUAUCUAAUGUUAGAAAAAGAAGAAUUAAAAUUAGAAGAUAAAUUAACAGCAAUGGUAAGAAUAGAAAAAGAAAAUGAAGAGAUAGAUAGGAAAAAGGAAAUAGAAAAAAUAAAACAACAAACUACAGAAGAAAUAUGAAAAAUAGAAAAAACUAAAAAUAGUAGGAUUGCUGAAUUAGAAAAAAGAACUACAAAUGCUAAAAGGUUUGUAUGAAAAAAGACAGAAAGAAAAAGAAGAAAAAGAUAAAGAACAAAAAUUAUUAAAUGAGAUAAAUCAAUUUAAAGAAAAAUUAGAAAUAAGUAAUAAAGAAAUAGAAAUCAGGGAAUUAGAAAUAAAUACAAUAGAUGUUGAAGAAACAGAUAAUUAUGAGUCCGAAGAUAGUGAAACAUACACAGAAAUAUUAACAAAUACAAAAAAUUUAGAAAUCAAUGAAGAACAAAAAAUUUAUGAGGAAAACUUAGAAAAUACCCACACAGAAAUAAAUACUCUUGAUAAAAAAGAAAAUGAAAAUAUAAUACCUAAAACAACAGAAAUAAGAAAACCUAUAUAUUAUAAGAAUAAGUUUAAAAAAUAUAAUGAAUAUGAUAAAUGGAUACCAAAACAAAUAGUGAAUAAAAAUUAUAACUUUUUAGAUCUAGACUGUGUAAUAGAUACAGAAAAAACAAUACAAUUAUGGAUAGGAUAUAUGACAAAACAAUUAUUAGAUAAUAAUAUAAAUAUAACAGAUGCACCGGAAUAUAUAGAAAAAACACUAAUAGGAUCAGUAAAACUAUGGUUUGCAAAUCUAACCGAAAAUAGCAAAAAAGUAUUAAGAACUAAUAAACCUAUAGAAGGAACAUCAUCGAC
rnacentral:lncRNA from 1 species